AUGAACGCUGGCGGCGUGCCUAAUACAUGCAAGUCGAGCGAACAGAUAAGGAGCUUGCUCCUUUGACGUUAGCGGCGGACGGGUGAGUAACACGUGGGUAACCUACCUAUAAGACUGGGAUAACUUCGGGAAACCGGAGCUAAUACCGGAUAAUAUUUCGAACCGCAUGGUUCGAUAGUGAAAGAUGGUUUUGCUAUCACUUAUAGAUGGACCCGCGCCGUAUUAGCUAGUUGGUAAGGUAACGGCUUACCAAGGCGACGAUACGUAGCCGACCUGAGAGGGUGAUCGGCCACACUGGAACUGAGACACGGUCCAGACUCCUACGGGAGGCAGCAGUAGGGAAUCUUCCGCAAUGGGCGAAAGCCUAACGGAGCAACGCCGCGUGAGUGAUGAAGGUCUUCGGAUCGUAAAACUCUGUUAUUAGGGAAGAACAUACGUGUAAGUAACUGUGCACGUCUUGACGGUACCUAAUCAGAAAGCCACGGCUAACUACGUG
rnacentral:rRNA from 1 species